rnacentral:lncRNA from 1 species
UUUUUUUUUUUGUAUUUAGUCACACAAUAAGGGUUACGUGAAAUUUCAAUUAAUCAUGUUAAAUUAAUAAUAAAUUUACAAGAUAAAACAACAUUUAGUCUUUGAACUUGGUAACUUUUUUCACUUUAGUCCUUGAACUUUAUUUUGGUCUACAUUAAUAUCGGAACAUGAUAGUUUUUUCUUAAUUUGGUCGUAAACUUGGAUUUUAUUGACUUAUGAUGACAUGACACUCCAAAUGUUUUUAAAUGAUUUUUGUAUUUUUUAGAUUUUAUAUAUUUGUAAAAAAAAUAAGUGAUGAUGUGAUAUAAUUUUAAAGUGCCACAUCAUCACUCCUUAAUAAAAUCCAAGUUAAAUAUCAAAUUGAGAAAAGUUACCAAGUUUCUGGAUAAAUAUAGACCAAAAAUUGUUUGGAGACCAAGUUUAGAAGAAUAGUCAAGUUCAAGGGCUAAAUGUUGCUUUAUCCUUGUUGAGUGGGGUUGGAUCUUAGACCCUCAACGAAAGGUAGUGUCCCGCUGGAAGCACCUUAGUCGAUGUAAUUACGACAUGCAAGCUCACUUUCCAUAUGUAGACACUUUUUAAAUUUAUUUUAAAAGGAAUAGUCAUCUCUAGAGCUAUUAUAACAUGGCUCCAUAUACAUUAUGGUUAUUACUACAAUUAAACUACUUACGGUUUGACUCUGAUUAUAAACGAUUUAAAUGCAUAUCGUUUGAAGUUAUAAUUGUACUUGUAAAAUAAAUUUACAUAUAUUUACAUAUCAUUCAAGUGUUUGAUAUUUUUAUAAAAAGUUGUCACCACUUUAACACCAAUAACAAACGAGUCAUUAAUUUAGACUUACUCAUAAAAAAAUUAAAUUACGAGAAAAUAAAGGAGAAGGAUUAAAUUUUGAAUCUGUAGGAAGAGUAAAACUAAAAAUAAAGUCGCACUCUAAAUAAAUUGUCUUUGUUAAAUAAAAUACAUUUCCAUGGACUAAACAAUCACAUGUUACCAAGGGGCACUCGUGGACCUUGAUGUGCAACAUAUUUCUUUAUAUAUCCUCUGCUAUGAUUUAUAUCUUAGCUUUAUUUAGUGAGAGCACAGGUUUGGACCAUAUUAAUAAAAUUUAAAUAAUAAUUUAUUGUUUGAAAUAUAAGUUAUUUUUGCUCUGAUAAAAUGAUUAACUAAAGGCAAAAAGAAAUCCAUAUUUAAUAUGUACAAUUAAAAUACUUUUCAAAGAAAUGAAUGAAAGGGGGAGAGCUAAGCUAAAGGAAGAUGCCUAAUUUGCCGACUCAAAGCUAAACUUACUUGUGGCUUGUGGGAAUAUAGGCAAACUCGAGAAUUUCGGUCAAACUUUGGUGAUGCUUGGGCCCAACCGCAUUCAAAAUGUUAAACCUUGAAGAAUUUAAAAAUUCCAUUUAAUUAAUUUAUUUUUUUUAUAAUAAUUAAGUUAUAUAAGAUAUUAUUGAUAAAUAAAGGUAAUGGUUUGGUAUAAAGAGUUACUAAAAAUAAUGGUAAAAAAUUAUAUUUGGUCUUUAUCAUUUACUUUAGUGUUGAGACGAUGUAUUUACAAAAAGGGAUUAGUUUGGUAUGGUUUGCAACCUGUAAGUGCAAGCGAUAUUGUAGUGGAUGUCAACUAACAAUAUUGUUGAAGUUAAUGUGAAAAGACUGAAUAAUAUGUCAUCAAACUUGAAAGGGUGAUGAAUUGACCUAACAAGAAAAUUUCUCCAUGUAUCUUUUGGGAAAUGUGUUGGUCUAACAUAUGUGACGCGACUUUUUUUUAUUAUACGAAUCUAAGACUAUACUCUUGGUGAAGUCAAGAUCAAGUUUCACUAAGUUUUAUCUUUAAAUAUAGUUGUUUAGUGGCUUGAUGAAGGAUGAUGUGACAAGUAUAUAGUAAAUUUGAUCAAAUUCAAAAAUAAUAAACUCAAAUUCGAAAAUAAUAAUGACCCAAAACGGUGUAAACUUGUAAAAAUCUAAAUAAAUAAUUCAAAAUAUUUCAAAGUUUAAAAUAACAAAUUUAAAAACACUAGACUCGAAGAUCUCGAACCAAAAAUUCAAAUACCUAACCAAAUUUCAAAAAGCACCGACAAAAUGAAUUUUGAUAUGCCAAAACCAUGCUAUUUGCAUUACUUACAUAAAGGACAUAACUUUUUAUUCAGAAACCAAAUAACUUAAAACAAAUAAACAGAGUAAUAAUAUUCAAUAUAAGGAUAAAUGUGAGGAAUUAUCAAAAGUGCUACCCACAUGCUGAAUAACAAACCCAUAGAUUUUCCUCUUCAAUUUCUCAACCAUGUGAACCAAUACCUCAUCCCCUUUCAAAACCGCCCGGUCUAACCAAUCAUUGACCCGUUUCAAUUGUGAUAAAACCGCUGCAAUGGAACCACAAUCUAAUACUAAUGCUUUCAAGGACUCUUCGAUGAAACCAAUAAACCACAUUUGCAUCUCAACUUUCAAGUUCAUUGCAAAGUGCAUUGUCUCUUUCAUCCCUUCACCUCUAGUCCACAUUGCAGCAUUAUUAUUUUGCUGCAGCUGUGGGAUUGAACUGGUUUUGAGUUGGUUUUUGGGUGAAGCAUGCUGAGACAGGUUUAUUUGUAAAGCUGAUAGAGAUUCAUUGUUUUGAGGGGUUAGAAGGGAGACUAUUUCAAGAUCAGUUGUCACUGCAGCUUCAACCCAUAGAGAAGAUGAUUUCGAGUGUUCUUCGAUGCCAGAUUUGCAACCAGCUGCAACAGUUUCAGCAAUUCCAGUGUACUUUACGACAUCGUCGUAAAUGGAUAAAAAUCGGUCAAUGGUUGGCAAAGGAUUCCCAGCCUUGGAUUUAGAGGAAAGUUCUGAAAACAUGCUGGAACCAUAUAUGGUUGGGAGUAUAAAAUUAGGCACAGACUAUAAGCCUUUUAGGCCUAUGCAUCAAGUUAUUUGCUACAUUUAUUUAUAUGCUUAAUAUUGCAAUAUUUUAAUGGAUCCAAACCUUAGAUUCCUAACAAGAGACUCGGCAGUUAUGGCCUCCUCCAAUGCCUCUGCUGCAGUUUUAGAAGCAAGAACUCUCCUUUGCAUAGCUUCCUGCAUUCAUACAAUGUAUUUUGUUUAACUAUAUAUUUUGUUCUCAUUUGCUUAUCAUUAAAGUGUAUUCAAGUCUAUCAACAUUCCUGCAAAUCCCUAGGCAUUAACCCUAGAUUAUGUUCUAGAUCCAAAUCAAAUAAAGGAAUGCAGUUUAAGGCAUCAACAAUUGAAAUGCCUUGAUCUAUGAUUAGAGUCAUUUGCUACGGACAAAACUCCAAUGCUACAGAAAUUAUCUAAUAUUUAGGUAAGACUUUUAAGCACAAUAUCAACAGAGAGACCUUGAUGGUUUGAAAUACAUGUGGCCAAUAUUUUUUUAAAAAGUAAUACAAGUAUAAUUAUAAAUAAUAUUAUAUAAAGCACAACUUAACUGAAACUGAAAUAUAUCUUACUUGCGUCCAAUACAUAUCUAAAUAUGAGUAAAGAGAUGUAAUUCUCUAAAAACCCACCAAAUACAUGAAAUAGCUUCACUUUCACAUAACAUAUUUUGUUUAAAUCUAAACUUUUGGAUAAUAACAACAGUUCAACGAUGGUGACAAGCACUCAUUAGUGGCGAUACUAGUUUUCCCACAAUCAUAGCAUUCUACUUAUGUGUGAAUAAUGAAACUUCAAUACGGUUUCAACAGCAUUGAAAAUUUUGAAUAACCAAUGACAUUUGCUAACAACAAAGACUAGACACAAUUAGUACUAUUUACCAAGUGUUAAGCAUGAAAGUAUAAGAAGUUAAUUCUUUACUAGAAACUACAGCAUAUUUAUUUCUACUCUACCAAAUCCAUCACAUCACCUUUUUUUCAGUUUAGACAAGAUAAUAUCAGAAAGCAAGCAUCUUAAACAGGAAAUUGGAAUCAAACAAGCACUCUCUUAAUUGGAAAGCAAGCAGAAAAAGCAAAAAUAAGAUGGAUUUGAUAGCUUCUUGAUAAAUCCCGACACAACCCCAUACCUUUCCAAGCUUUGCAAGGUCAGCAGAAAGGGUAUCCCAUGAAACACUGCCAUCAGUCCAUUUCUUUUCAUGGACGGUGAUUCCCAGAGCUCCACUCCCACGUGCUGGUUUCUCUGCGGCAGAACCAUCUUUAGGUGAACUAGCUUUUCUUUUCUCAUUGCUUGAAGAAUUUCCAUCAUUGGAUUUCUGACUAUGUACAUCAGUUAAACGUCUUGAAAUGGCCGUCUGGGAAAAGAAAAUAUAUUGCCGAAAAGUCAGAAAAUUCGGCAACAAAGAGGCACAUAAAACUCAAAUUCUACAUGAUACUCUACUAGAAAAUAUUCCAUGCUCUCAUUCUUGAUUCCUUGAAAGCAUAAUUGGUUCUGUCUCCAGUUUCCAUUUUCUUUAAAUAGGAACCUUAAAGACCAUUGAAAACUUUUAACUAUUUUUAAAAGAAAAUUAAUGUGGGAUUUUCCAUUAGUAGUAGAAUGAGAAUAAAGAGAUUAUCUGAUGCAAUUACAUAUCAAUUUUCACAUAAGCCUAAUCUUCUUAGGAUUUUAGAGAUUAAUUAAUCAAGCUAGCAAACUAAGAAAGCCAACUUAAUUACCUGAGUCCGCAAAAUAGCUUGCAGAUCCGGCUUAGUCUUAACAUAAGCUUUCUCCUUCAGCUCCCCUGAACCCUUCUCUGGUUGCUCAUCCCAGCUCUUCCUACUACUCUUGGCAGAACCCACCAAAGCUUCGGACGCCUUCGAAAUCCCAGCAACAAUGGUUGCCAUCUUCUUCUUCGAAUCCCCUACAGCCGGCGAAACCUUCAACCCUCCGGCCAACCUCUUCGCCGGAGAAAGUGACGGUCUUCGAGCACCUGGUGAUGCUUGCUUCCUCCCGUUGGGAGAAGGUUGCCUAUACCUCGAAGGUACCAUGAUCACCGACUCUCUCCCAAUUUUCUUAUUAUCUUCCUUCCCUGCCAUCAAGCUCGGUACCAUGCAUUUCGAAGGUAACGGAGAUGCGGAUCUCUUUCCUUUCCCCGCCGGAGAAGGAUCUCUUUCCACAACCGCCGCACUGGUUUUCUUCACAGUCGAAACCGAACGUUUGGAAGCCACCGGAGACGAAAACCUUUCCGAAUUUUCAUUAACUUCGACGUUAUCUCUAGGCACGAGAGGCUGCUUUGUUCUAGGAUUUUCAAUUUUCGAAUCCUUAUUUCCACUUUGAGUUGGUUGCUCCAACUUCUUGUUAGACAAAUAAACUGCAACCGGAUCCGAGGAGAAUUCGGAUACGGGUUGUACAACGAAAUCCCUCUUGGAAGACGAAAUGCGAGCAAUGAGAGGGUCCGGUGAACCAACGAAAGCGUGACGACCAGCAAUCGGUCGGAUACCAGAGACACGUGGCACGGGAGAUUCAAAAUGGAAGCGAUCAACGUAAACGAACUGACCUAGCUGGAGCCGAUUGGAGAGUAUCAAUUCACUGUCGCGAUCGGAGAGGGAGACGUAGGUGGAGUUAAGGGAAUCGGAGAGUUGAACAUAGAAACCAUGGUUGGCCCAGAGUUCGUCAGAUCCGGCAAGAGCCGGAACGAUGCCGAUUACUUGGAGGAGGCCUGAACGGUGGUCGCCGGCGACACGGGCGGAGGAAUUCAUUGAUUGGAGGAGCUUGAGGAGGAUACCGGGAGUAAGCGAAGCCAUAACGAGGGAGCGUAAUACAGAGAGAAAGGGAGGGGCGUAAAGAAAGAGGAAAUGGAUUGUGGAGUAUUUAACCGUUACGAAUUACGAGAUUCAAAUUCAAAAAAGCCCGCUAAUAUUGUUUUUCCUAACUAAAGAGAAUCGAACGGCUUAUCAAAACUCGCCACGUCGCUUCUUCUCGUUGUACUAUGAUACCGGACGCAGCGAGAUCACCUCGAUGAACAAAAUCUACUGCUAGAUCGCAGCUUUGUUAUUAAUAUUGAUCAAAUACAGUGUUUAUCAGUAAUUAAAUUAUGAGUAAAUUUUUGUUUCGAUCACUCAAUUAAAUUAAUUUAUAAUUUAGUUAUUAAAUUAUUUAAUAAAUUUCAUUUAAAUCAUUAGUUAUUAAUAUCGAUGCUGUAUGGUUUUCUUUGUUUGCAUUACUUAUGUCAAUUAAAAACUCUUUUUCUCCAUGUCUUCUACAAUUUAAUUUUUUUUCAUAAAACAGCUUUAGACGUCACAAAUCUACAAACCAAAAUUUAGACAAUUUUUUUCUCCUAUCUCUGACACUGAACGUUAGAUCAAUUUGAAUCUAAGGUAUGUUUUUCUAUUCAUUGACAUAGGUCCACCGUACUGAUCGUUAAAUUGUCGCUUAAAGCUCGUUUGUGGAACUUAAAAAAAAAAACCUUAAUAGCCCAGUAACUUAAACAAAAAAUUUUGAAUAGUUCAGUGACUUAAAUAAAAAAAACUUUUGAAUAGUUCAAUGACAAAAUUGUGACUUUUUUUAGUUAAGUGACCAAAACGAAAACUUAUCAUAGUUCAGUGAUUAAUAGUAUAAUUUACCCUAAAAAUUAAAUCAAGUUACUUCUUUGUUUUAAAAAUUAGGGUUAAAUCGCUAUUUAAGGCUUGAACUGCAAUUAUUCACAUAUCGGGGCAUGAUUUUUUUUUUCUCCAAGUUAAGCCUUAAACUUGGCCAUUGUUCCCACAUUAAGGCUUAAACUAGGCAAGUGUUCCCACAUUGGAGCUUAAUUUCUUUUGUCCAAGUUAGUCCCUAAACUUUGCAAUUGUUCUCAUAUUGGAGCCUAUACUUGACAAUUGUUACCACAUUAAGGCAUGAACUUUAGGGGUUUUAAAGAAACAUUAUGGACUAACUUGGACAAAAUAAAAUUCAAGUCCCAAUGUGGGAGCAAUUGCCAAGUUUAUGUUCUAAUUUGGACAAAAAGAAGUCUAGGCCUUAAUAUAAGAAUAGUUGCCAAGUUGAAGGCCUACCUCGGACAAAAAAAUUUCAAGCUCUAAUAUAAGAAUAAUUGUCAAAUUCAUUGCUUAAAUUUUGAUUUAACCCUAAAAAUUUAUAAUUCAAUGGUUAAUAAGCCACAAAAAUUCAAGAAAUAGACAAAUGGAGAAUGUCAAGGGUUAUGGGUUGGGUGAUGUAGAAUUUGGGUUAAAUUUGAGUAUAAUAUUAAUACAUUUUAUACUUAUUCAAAUUUGGUUUUGCUUAAAGUAUGAGUUUGAAAGUUUGUCCAAAUCCGCUUAUAUUUAUAAAUAGUUAAUCCAAAUUUAUUUUUUAUUUUUUAACAUUUAAUACUUUUAUAUAUUAUUUUCAUUUAUUAGAAAUUUACAUACAAACAAAGAUAACAUUUUUUUAAUGUAAAAAAAAUUACAUUACAUUAUUAUAGGUUUAAUUUUAUAUAAUAUAUUACAAAUUUAUAAAAUAUGUUAGGUCAAAUUGGGCUCGAGACUAAUUCAUAUUUUUUAUUUGUACAAACUCAUACUUUAAAAUUGGAAUAAGUAUUUUUAUUCAACUAGUUUAGUUAAAAACAAUGGCAAGCUUUCUAACGCCAAACAAGAACUACAGGGAGCAAGUAUAUCCAAAGGGCAGAUUGAGCAUAGGCGAAUACCGAUAAUAUGAUGUAAAACCUUAGUUGGGCCAAUCUAUUUUUUGGGGAAUUAGAGUCCAAAUUAUUAAAUUUAAUUUUCCUGUAACCUAACUUUGGCACUCACUAAGAAGGUGAAGGGAUUAUUGGGGUUUAAAUAAACAAUUUGAACAUAAAUAGAAUUGAAAAGAGAAAAGUAAAAAUAUUUGCUUGUAAUAAUCAAAAGAAAAUAGAAAACUAUGUCUUUGUAGUUGGAGCAUUAGCUAAAGGUCUCUCCAUCUUAGAGAUUCUCUGUGUUGACAGUAAUUUAAUAGUGGUUCGUAAAAAUAAAAAGAAGGGUUUCUGAGGAAAAAGAAAAGAAAAAUUGUUAUUUACAGUUCGCUCCUUCCAUUUUACCGUACAAAUCCUUAAUUUCAGCUAUUUCUUCUUCUUCUUCUUCUUCUCACCUGAAACCUUGAUGACAAUUGAAGCUUGAGACCCAGCUUUGUCGAAUCCAUGUCUGCAAACAGCUUUUGCUUUUCUUUUUGGUCAUGAUUUACAGUAAGAACUACUUUUUUUCAAUCUGAAAUAGAAUGAACAUGCCAACACAAAAGCAUGGAGACACAACGUCCGAGGAUGUAAAACCGGGUUUUCUGCUGCUUUGCCAUCUACGAACACCGUUUCCUCAAACUGGGUUUCCGAGAUCGGCAACGAAGUUUCCUUUUGGAGCUUGAAACCAAGUAUGGAGUUGCAGCCAUGGCCGACUUUGCUUGGAUUUUGGUGGUUGUUGUUGUUGAUGAUGAAUCUACUUUGGAGUUUGAGGAGCACAACUACAAAAUGACUUCUUUUAAGGCCUACUUAUAUAACCACAACCUUAAUUUCAACUCACCUGGUUUGGUUCGUGGAGAUUUUAAAUUUUGGUUAAAAUAUGUUCUAAGUCUCUAUACUCUUAAAAACUUUAGCAUUUAGUCCUU